UAAUACUCUUAUUAAGGGACUAUGUAAGGCUAAAAAGUUGAAAGAAGCUUUUGAAUUGAAGGCGGAGAUGGAGUUGCAAAAAUUAAAACCGGGAUUGGUAACGUACACUACAUUGAUUAAGGGUU
rnacentral:miRNA from 1 species